CCUACGGGAGGCAGCAGUGGGGAAUAUUGCGCAAUGGGCGAAAGCCUGACGCAGCGACGCCGCGUGAGGGAUGAAGGUCUUCGGAUCGUAAACCUCUGUCAGCAGGGAAGAACGGUCACUGUGCUAAUCAGCAGUGAAUUGACGGUACCUGCAACGGAAGCACCGGCUAACUCCGUGCCAGCAACCGCGGUAAUACGGAGGGUGCGAGCGUUAAUCGGAAUUACUGGGCGUAAAGCGCUCGUAGGCGGUAUGUCAAGUCAAGGGUGAAAUCCCCGCGCUCAACGUGGGAACUGCCUUUGAAACUGGCAGACUGGAGUGUGUGAGAGGAUAGUGGAAUUCCAGGUGUAGGGGUGAAAUCCGUAGAUAUCUGGAGGAACAUCAGUGGCGAAGGCGACUAUCUGGCACAUAACUGACGCUGAGGAGCGAAAGCGUGGGUAGCAAACAGGAUUAGAUACCCCAGUAGUC
rnacentral:rRNA from 1 species